rnacentral:rRNA from 1 species
CCUACGGGAGGCAGCAGUGAGGAAUAUUGGACAAUGGGCGAGAGCCUGAUCCAGCCAUGCCGCGUGCAGGAAGACGGCCCUAUGGGUUGUAAACUGCUUUUACAGAGGAAGAAACACCCCCUCGUGAGGGGGCUUGACGGUACUCUGCGAAUAAGGAUCGGCUAACUCCGUGCCAGCAGCCGCGGUAAUACGGAGGAUCCAAGCGUUAUCCGGAAUCAUUGGGUUUAAAGGGUCCGUAGGCGGGUUAAUAAGUCAGUGGUGAAAGUCUGCAGCUCAACUGUAGAAUUGCCAUUGAUACUGUUAACCUUGAGUAAUUAUGAAGUGGUUAGAAUAUGUAGUGUAGCGGUGAAAUGCAUAGAUAUUACAUAGAAUACCGAUUGCGAAGGCAGAUCACUAAUAAUUCACUGACGCUGAGGGACGAAAGCGUAGGUAGCGAACAGGAUUAGAUACCCUGGUAGUCUACGCCGUAAACGAUGGUUACUAGCUGUUUGGCUCGAUUGAGAGCUGAGUGGCUAAGCGAAAGUGAUAAGUAACCCACCUGGGGAGUACGUUCGCAAGAAUGAAACUCAAAGGAAUGACGGAAUCUCGACUGCAGGGCCCCG